CUUGAAAAUUCUACUUACCUGUGGAAAAUAGGAGUUUUUAAACAAUCCCCCGCUCCCCGUCAAAUACCAUCAGCUUUUGCAGAAUGUAAGCUACAGUAAUUAAAAACAAAACAUCUGCCCUCCCAACAAAUCAAAAACGCAAACAAAACUGCUACCGCAUUCUUUUACCUCCAUUUUUCACCCACCUCCCCCCAAAGCUUUCUAGCCAUUAUGGUUGUGUAGAUAACUUUGCAAACAUAACUAAGUAUACCUUGAUGUACAGUACUAUCUUCCCAUGUCUGCAGACUGAGCUUCAAUGCCUCUGCCAAGCUUCAUUGGGGUGGAAAUGGCUCAGUCUUUCCAGUUUCUUCUGUGGCUGUCCACAACCAGGUGGGCAGUGGUGAAACUGACAAAAAUAAAGCCAGUUUGACUUUGCUGUUGCUGUUUAGAAUAAUGGGGAUGAAUUGGGUGGGGGGAGAACAAGUAGGGAACAAUUUAGAGGAAGAGAGGAUAUGAUAUAAGGAGACAGGAAAAGAAGAAACAGACAGUGCAGGAAAAGAUGCACUAUGAUCUAGUACGGGAAAGAAAAGAGGAAAAGUAGAGUGAAACCUGGUGGGCAAAGGCAAAGGAGAUCGCUAUUAAAAUGGAAUGUUGUUUGAGAGUGUUGUAAUACAAUUGGGCUUUGUUCCUUUAAACUAUAGGGAGUGUGGUUCUAGAUUGGUGACAAGGCAGGUAUUUUCAUUCUGAUUAGUAGCCUUGUGCUAGUAGGUAUCGAGUAAGGUUGUAUUUCCCCUCCCCCC